AUUGAACGCUGGCGGCAGGCCUAACACAUGCAAGUCGAACGAGUGGCGGACGGGUGAGUAAUGUCUGGGAAACUGCCCGAUGGAGGGGGAUAACUACUGGAAACGGUAGCUAAUACCGCAUACCAUCGGAUGUGCCCAGAUGGGAUUAGCUAGUAGGUGGGGUAAAGGCUCACCUGGGCGACGAUCCCUAGCUGGUCUGAGAGGAUGACCAGCAAAACUGGAAGGGAGAAACGGGCCAGACUCCUACGGGAGGCAGCAGUGGGGAAUAUUGCACAAUGGGCGAAAGCCUGAGGCAGCCAGGCCGCGUGGAGGAAGAAGGCCUUCGGGUUGUAAAGUACUUUCAGCGGGGAGGCGUUACCCGCAGAAGAAGCACCGGCUAACUCCGUGCCAGCAGCCGCGGUAAUUC
rnacentral:rRNA from 1 species